CUCGACCCGGUUCCCUCACAGCUGUUCGACCCGACCUGAGAGCGCUGAAGCAGCUGUCAGGCACGGUGGUGGCAGCAUCAUGAUGUGGGACAGCAGGCAGUGUUGCAUGCUGGGAGAGCUGUUGCCUGGGGGGCAGCGAGCGCCCCACCCUGACGAGGCCGACGAGGAAGAGGAGAAGAAUCUGCUGAAGACUCCGAUCGUUCCUCAGAGUCAAAGACUUCCUGACUUCAAACCCUCUGAACUGGAGCUCAUUAAGGCCAAGAGCUCUGUUGAUUUUAACAAAAUAAAAGCCUGAACUC